CCUACGGGGGGCAGCAGUGAGGAAUAUUGGUCAAUGGACGCAAGUCUGAACCAGCCAUGCCGCGUGCAGGAAGACGGCUCUAUGAGUUGUAAACUGCUUUUGUACGAGGGUAAACGCAGAUACGCGUAUCUGUCUGAAAGUAUCGUACGAGUAAGGAUCGGCUAAGUCGGGGCCAGCAGCCGCGGGAAUACGGAGGAUUCAAGCGUUAUCCGGAUUGAUUGGGUUUAAGGGGGGCGUAGGCGGUCGGAUAAGUUAGAGGUGAAAUCCCGAGGCUCAACUUCGGAAUUGCCUCUGAUACUGUUCGGCUAGAGAGUAGUUGCGGUAGGCGGAAUGUAUGGUGUAGCGGUGAAAUGCUUAGAGAUCAUACAGAACACCGAUUGCGAAGGCAGCUUACCAAGCUACUUCUGACGUUGAGGCACGAAAGCGUGGGGAGCAAACAGGAUUAGAUACCCCUGUAGUC
rnacentral:rRNA from 1 species